CUAGAACGGAUCCGACGGUGAGGGACGAAGCCCUGGGUCGCAAACGGGAUUAGAUACCCCGGUAGUCCAGGGUGUAAACGCUGCAGACUUGGUGUUGGAGGCCCUUUGGGGGCAUCCAGUGCCGGAGAGAAGUUGUUAAGUCUGCUACUUGGGGAGUACGUCCGCAAGGAUGAAACUUAAAGGAAUUGGCGGGGGAGCACCGCAACGGGAGGAGCGUGCGGUUUAAUUGGAUUCAACACCGUAAAACUCACCAGGGAAGACUGUUACAUGAAGGCCGGGCUAAAGACUCUGCCAGAUUUUCAGAGAGGUGGUGCAUGGCCAUCGUCAGUUCGUACCGUAAGGCGUUCUCUUAAGUGAGAUAACGAACGAGACCCUCACCGAUAAUUGCUACUUAUCCCUCCGGGGGUAAGGCACAUUAUCGGGACCGCUGGCGCUAAGUCAGAUGAAGGAGAGGUCAACGGUAGGUCAGUAUGCCCCGAAUUUCCUGGGCUACACGCGCGCUACAAAGGGCGGGACAAUGGGUUCUGACACCGAAAGGUGUAAGCAAUCCCGAAACCCGUCCGUAGUUCGGAUUGAGGGUUGUAACUCACCCUCAUGAAGCUGGAUUCCGUAGUAAUCGCGAAUCAACAACUCGCGGUGAAUAUGCCCCUGCUCCUUGCACACACCGCCCGUCAAACCAUCCGAGUUGGGUUUCAGUGAGGUUACCCCUAAUUAGGGUAUUCGAACUGAGAUUUAGCAAGGAAGGUUAAGUCGUAACAAGGUAUCU
rnacentral:rRNA from 1 species